rnacentral:tRNA from 2 species
AUUUAAAUAGUUUAUUAAAAAUAUUGAUUUGUGAUAUCAAAGAUGUAAGAUUUACUUUAAAUU